GGGCAGGUGGCGGAAUUGGCAGACGCGACGGCCUCAAAAGCCGUUGGGCUUACGCUCGUGAGGGUUCGAGUCCCUCUCUGCCCA
rnacentral:tRNA from 1 species